rnacentral:rRNA from 1 species
AGUGAACGCUGGCGGUAGGCCUAACACAUGCAAGUCGAACGGCAGCACAGGAGAGCUUGCUCUCUAGGUGGCGAGUGGCGGACGGGUGAGGAAUACAUCGGAAUCUGCCCAGUCGUGGGGGAUAACGUAGGGAAACUUACGCUAAUACCGCAUACGACCUUCGGGUGAAAGAGGGGGAUCGCAAGACCUCUCGCGAUUGGAUGAGCCGAUGUCGGAUUAGCUAGUUAGCGGGGUAAUGGCCCACCAAGGCGACGAUCCGUAGCUGGUCUGAGAGGAUGAUCAGCCACACUGGAACUGAGACACGGUCCAGACUCCUACGGGAGGCAGCAGUGGGGAAUAUUGGUCAAUGGGCGCAAGCCUGAUCCAGCCAUACCGCGUGGGUGAAGAAGGCCUUCGGGUUGUAAAGCCCUUUUGUUGGGAAAGAAAUCUUUCAGGCUAAUACCCUGGGAGGAUGACGGUACCCAAAGAAUAAGCACCGGCUAACUUCGUG